rnacentral:rRNA from 1 species
UACGUAGGAGGCGAGCGUUGUCCGGAGUUACUGGGCGUAAAGGGUGCGCAGGCGGCGGUUCGCGUGGCGAGAUGAAAUCUCCUGGCUUACCUGGGAGGGUGGUCGCCAGACGGGAUCGCUUGAGGGUCGGAGAGGGGCGUGGAAUUCCGGGUGGAGCGGUGAAAUGCGCAGAUAUCGGGAAGAACACCCGUGGCGAAGGCGGCCCUCUGGGACGGUACUGACGCUGAGACGCGAAAGCGUGGGGAGCGAACAGG